UACGUAGGUGGAAAAUUAAGUCAGUAGUGAAAUCCUGCAGCUUAACUGUAGAACUGUUAUUGAUACUGGUUUUCUUGAAUGUAGUUGAGGUAGGCGGAAUAUGUAAUGUAGCGGUGAAAUGCUUAGAUAUUACAUAGAACACCGAUUGCGAAGGCAGCUUACUAAGCUACGAUUGACGCUGAGGUACGAAAGCGUGGGGAGCGAACAGGAUUAGAUACCCUGGUAGUCC
rnacentral:rRNA from 1 species